GCUCGAUCCCAGAACACCGGGAUCACGCCCUGAGCCGAAGGCAGACGCUUAACGACUGAGCCACCCAGGCGCCCCUAAAGAUUUUAUUUUUUAAGUAAUCUCUACACCCAGAUGGGACUCGAACUCACAACCCCGAGAUCAAGAGUCACAUGCUCCCCCAACUGAGUCAGCCAGGUGUCCCUUGUCUGUACUUCUGUGGUUGACCAUCUCUAAGUAAAUACGUGCUUUCUACUUGAACUAACCUAAUACGUUUCUCGACACAGGAUUUUCAAAGCCUCAGGAGCAUCAGUUUGCAAAUCCCCAGCAGUCUCACAGGGGAGAAGCAAUAGGGAAACGUGCAACGCAACAGCUACAGCAUGAGAUCAGCAAUAAUGAUGCACCCUGGCAGCUCCCAACCCCCAAUUAUGUCAUGCUGUACCUGACCGCUGACCCAAGAACAGAAGUGCUGGCGCUGAACGACCUUCCUCCCCUGGGCUUCCUUCCAUCCCAGGCUGCCUGGCUUCUGCUGCCCAAACAAGGUCUCCAGCUUCAGCUCUUCUCCCGGCCUUUCCUAAACAUGCGUGCCCUGGCCCACCUUCCCAGGACUCUGUGUCAGGCGACAGCCAGCCACUGUGCACACCAUGUUAACAGCGUGGACUUGAACUCUUCGCCCUGCUCGCCUGCCUGCCUCUCCAUCACCUCACUCAUGUAGAUGACGAGUCUGCGUGGGACCCAAUAUUGUCAAAGAAAGUCUGGAAUACCAGGCACACAGACCAACUUCAGGAUACCGAAAAUACCCUUGACCAUGUCUGAGCGAGGCGAAGUUCCCCUGAGUGAGGGACUGAAUAUACCAAAAGGUAACGGGGCCUGCGAAGGCCUCCUGGCACUCGCGUGCGCAGUCCCCUGGCAGACAAGACAGCGGACUGGCGGCGGUUUGUAAGUUGGGCUUUGUUUGAUAUGUGAGAGUAAAAACCGGGGAAUGUGGCCCACUUGCACUUUUGAAAUCCCUCCCUUCAUUAUAUUUGAAUUUCAUGUCUUUAUGCUUUGUUUCAAACUAAAUAUCAAAAGUCUCUCGUUUCUGUUAUCUCCCUGACAGUUCUUCAAUAUACUGUAUUUAAAACUCUCCGAGGACAAAAAAAAAUGCACUUUUCAAGUGAUGCUAGGAGCUUGCCACCCCCCGUCUGUCUUCAUUUCUGAAUCUCUGGGAUGCUUCAUAAAACAAAGGAGAAUGUACCAAAAGGUGCUUCUGUGCUAUUUUAAAUACGUACAGAGGUCUCCUCUGUCUUACAGAGAAAACAGUACAGACCCAGAUGUUUCGCAAGUCAUAUAAUUCAUACCUAAUGCUGACGGACCACUAACUGUAUCUACACAGACUCUAUCACACAUG
rnacentral:lncRNA from 1 species